rnacentral:rRNA from 1 species
CACGUAGUUAGCCGGUGCUUCUUCUCAACCUACCGUCACAAAAGCUUCGUCGGUUGCGAAAGGAGUUUACAACCCGAAGGCCGUCAUCCCCCACGCGGCGUCGCUGCAUCAGGCUUGCGCCCAUUGUGCAAUAUUCCCCACUGCUGCCUCCCGUAGGAGUCUGGGCCGUAUCUCAGUCCCAAUGUGGCCGUACACCCUCUCAGGCCGGCUACCCGUCGACGCCUUGGUAGGCCAUUACCCCACCAACAAGCUGAUAGGCCGCGAGCUCAUCCCAUACCGCAAAAGCUUUCCACCACCCCAUCCAAGAAGUGGUCAUAUUCGGUAUUAGACCCAGUUUCCCAGGCUUAUCCCAAAGUACAGGGCAGAUCACCCACGUGUUACUCACCCGUUCGCCACUCGAGUACCCUGCAAGCAGGGCCUUUCCGUUCGACUUGCAUGUGUUAAGCACGCCGCCAGCGUUCAUCCUGAGCCAGGAUCAAAACUCU